GAUGAACGCUGGCGGCGUGCCUAAUACAUGCAAGUCGAGCGAAUGGAUUAAGAGCUUGCUCUUAUGAAGUUAGCGGCGGACGGGUGAGUAACACGUGGGUAACCUGCCCAUAAGACUGGGAUAACUCCGGGAAACCGGGGCUAAUACCGGAUAACAUUUUGAACCGCAUGGUUCGAAAUUGAAAGGCGGCUUCGGCUGUCACUUAUGGAUGGACCCGCGUCGCAUUAGCUAGUUGGUGAGGUAACGGCUCACCAAGGCAACGGUGCGAAGCCGACCUGGGAGGGUGAUCGGCCACACUGGGACUGAGGCACGGCCCAGACUCCUACGGGAGGCAGCAGUAGGGAAUCUUCCGCAAUGGACGAAAGUCUGACGGAGCAACGCCGCGUGAGUGUUGAAGGCUUUCGGGUCGUAAAACUCUGUUGUUAGGGAAGAACAAGUGCUAGUUGAAUAAGCUGGCACCUUGACGGUACCUAACCAGAAAGCCACGGCUAACUACGUGCCAGCCGCCGCUGUAC
rnacentral:rRNA from 1 species